rnacentral:rRNA from 1 species
AUUGAACGCUGGCGGCAUGCUUUACACAUGCAAGUCGAACGGCAGCGCGGGCUUCGGCCUGGCGGCGAGUGGCGAACGGGUGGGUAAUACAUCGGAACGUGCCCAGUAGUGGGGGAUAGCUCGGCGAAAGCCGGAUUAAUACCGCAUACGACCUGAGGGUGAAAGCGGGGGAUCUUCGGACCUCGCGCUAUUGGAGCGGCCGAUGGCAGAUUAGCUAGUUGGUGGGGUAAAGGCCUACCAAGGCGACGAUCUGUAGCUGGUCUGAGAGGACAACCAGCCACACUGGGACUGAGACACGGCCCAGACUCCUACGGGAGGCAGCAGUGGGGAAUUUUGGACAAUGGGCGAAAGCCUGAUCCAGCAAUGCCGCGUGUGUGAUGAAGGCCUUCGGGUUGUAAAGCACUUUUGGCGGGAACGAAAAGGACUGUGCCAAUACCACGGUUCGAUGACGGUACCCGCAGAAUAAGCACCGGCUAACUACGUG